rnacentral:pre_miRNA from 1 species
AAUUUCAACUUAAAAAGUUAUGAAUAUAAAAGUUGUAGAACUCAUUAAGAGCUAAAACUUUUAUUUUGGUCAUUUCUUUAUCCGACCAAGUGAUAGUAACAUUGUUAAUAAAAUUUGCAUAUAUCUUAUAUACCUUAUGAAACCAUAUACGAGAUAGGUAAAUUUUCUAAACAAUAUUACUAUCGCUUUGUCGGAUGAAAAAAAUGACUAAAAUAAAAGUUAUAGAUCUUGAUAAGUUAUACAACUUUGUUGUUGAUGACUUUUUUAGUUAAAAUC